GAUAAUUUCGUCUCUGAUUCGAUCUAGAUCUCUCUGCUUUCUGGGUUUUCUUUCAAGGUUCUGUUUCAUUUGAGAAAGAUGGCUUGUUUGGUUUCUCGUACUGGAAGGGAAUUGCAGAGAUAUAAUCAUAUGGGGUUUCGCCAAGUUGUGGGUUGUAUACCGUAUAGAUUUAAAUAUAGUGAAGAUGGGAUGAAGAUUUGUGAUGAAUAUGAGGUGCUUGUGAUAAGUUCUCAAAAGGGUCAAGGACUGAUGUUUCCCAAGGGUGGUUGGGAACUUGAUGAAUCCUUGGAACAAGCUGCUUCUAGAGAGUCACUUGAAGAAGCUGGGGUUCUUGGCAAAGUUGAGUCUCAACUUGGAAAAUGGAGAUUCAUCAGCAAAAGCCAAGGCACAUAUUAUGAAGGCUAUAUGUUCCCUUUAUUUGUUGAGGAACAGCUUGACCUCUGGCCAGAGAAACAUGUUAGAGAAAGAAUAUGGAUGCCUGUAGCUGAAGCUAGAGAAGUAUGUAGACACUGGUGGAUGAAGGAAGCUUUAGACAUCUUAGUUGAAAGACUAACAUCCAUUGGAGAGCAAAAGGAUGAUGAUGAUCUUCUAGCAACAACUGAUGAUCUGUGAUUGAAAGCUCAGUCUUGUUUUUUCUCCUUGUAAAUAUGGAGAGGAAAAAUAAUGCUGGGGGCCAUGUGAAUAAAGUUAAUGGUUUGGUUGGAUCUUUCCUUUUCUGAAAUCUGAUGCCAUCAACUCAUAGAAAGAAGGGGAAACCAUAUUCAUGAUAUCAUCAAAAGCUUGAUCUGGCGCAAGCUGUUAGAAAAUAAAAGAGAAAGAGACAUGGAGAGAAAAGUGAAAGGGAAAGGGAAAGGACAAGGGUAGG
rnacentral:misc_RNA from 1 species